AUGUUGUUAAUUAAACAACUCGUACAGAUUUUCCAAGAAAAGGAAAAAUCAAAACGAUUCGAAGAAGUAGAAUGUAGAAGACGUUUACCCGCUUGAGGUCAGGGCCGGCUAUGUUUUGACGCAUCAUCACCUCCGAUUCUCCUACCUGUAUCUCAGGUUAUUUGUUAGCUCGAAUCUCAUGAAGGAGAUGGUUCUAUUCUCUUAUCCACAUCUCCGGUUGGUGUUAUAGAGACUUAAGAGUUUAUGUGAUAGGAACCAAGGGGUCCAUAAUGAAUCAGCAACAAUGGCUACAGAAGUAGAGUUAUAGAAAUUGUCAAGGAGAAUAGCUCAUUCUUGAAGUGGACUUCAAAUGGCAAAUAAAUUGCACAGAUGGCUGACGACGUAAGCUGUUUUUUGUUUGUGGAAUCUUUCUAUUUUUGGUCAUUUUUCAUACAUAUAUCCGAUGAGAACUAUCUACUCUUCUAGAUUUUAGUCAUAUAAUUAAACUGGCUUCUAUGUUUUCGAGGGAUCUCUCAAUGGAGUUCAUAUAUGAGAAGAGAUGUGUAGGCCAACCGCAGAGACGAAAUUUUCAUCUUUACAGACGUGCCUAAGGUGUUGUGCCAUCAUCGAUACCUAUUAGCCACUUCGCAAAAUCUUUUUCCGCUUGGUCCAGCCUCAUAUUUUUCUCGAGAGUGAAUAUAGAGCAAUAAUUCCAUAAAUAUGAACGGUUGAUUGUUGCCAUAACAGUUUCUUGUCUGGUGCCUUUUGGUAUGACUGGCAGAAUUUGUCUAAAAUCACCACCAAGAAGCACCGUUUUUCCGCCAAAGGGUUUGCUUGCUGCAUCUAGAUCAGCUACUGAGAGUACAUCUCUCAAACUCUUAUCAAGAGCUUCAAACGCAAAUCGAUGGCACAUAGGCGCUUCAUCCCAAAUGAUGAGAUCUGUUUUUUACUACCGUUCGACGAUAGGAACGCUUUUUGUUAAGCUGAUCUAUUGUUAUGUAAUCUUUGUUAGUAUGUUGAACUUGUGUCUUCAUCUUUUGUUUGAUGAUAGCUAUUCUGAAAAUUUUAAAAAGAAGUAAAAAGUAAUUUAGUUUAAGUAACAACCAAAACCAAUAUGUUUGUAACACGUGAAAACAUAAUAUUAGUUACGUAAAGUUAAUGUA